AAGGGAGACCUAAUUCAGGUAUGGGACGAAAAAAAAGUAGUCGCUACCAAGAAUCAAUCCCAAAAGGUCGGAGCGAGGCAAAAUUGGCUUUCAAACUAGGUUCUGGGUUCAUAAAAGACCUGAAUCAGGAACAAGGGCUAUUAGCUCAGGUGGUUAGAGCGCACCCCUGAUAAGAGUGAGGUCCCUGGUUCGAGUCCAGGAUGGCCCACCUGCACAGGUGGCAAAAACAAGAGAAGCUCCGAAUCAGCACCUUAUCUUAUAUACAUAUAUAAGAGAGAAUGCUGGCUCUGAGUACAGAGUCCAGAGGAACCUUGAAAACUGCAUAGAGCUAGGUGAAAAAGCCAAAAAAGAAGACCGCAA
rnacentral:tRNA from 1 species